GUGAGGAAUAUUGCGCAAUGGAGGCAACUCUGACGCAGCCAUGCCGCGUGCAGGAAGAAGGCGCUACGCGUUGUAAACUGCUUUUAACCGGGAAGAAACCCCAGGACGUGUCCUGGGUUGACGGUACCGGAGGAAUAAGCACCGGCUAACUUCGUGCCAGCAGCCGCGGUAUACGAAGGGUGCAAGCGUUAUCCGGAUUCAUUGGGUUUAAAGGGUGCGUAGGCGGCGCGUUAAGUCAGUGGUGAAAUCCUGCAGCUUAACUGUAGACUUGCCUGUGAUACUGGCGCUCUUGAGUGCGCUUGAAGUGGGCGGAAUGUGCCGUGUAGCGGUGAAAUGCUUAGAUAUGGCACAGAACACCAAUUGCGAAGGCAGCUCACUAAGGCGAUACUGACGCUGAGGCACGAAAGCGUGGGGAUCGAACAGGAUUAGAAACCCGAGUAGUCC
rnacentral:rRNA from 1 species